rnacentral:tRNA from 1 species
GCCCGGGUGGCGGAAUUGGCAGACGCGCAAGCUUGAGGUGCUUGUGUCCGAUUACAGGACGUGCUGGUUCGAAUCCAGUCCCGGGCA